AUUGAACGCUGGCGGAAUGCUUUACACAUGCAAGACGACCGGCAGCACGGACCUCGGUCUGGUGGCGAGUGGCGAACGGGUGAGUAAUGUAUCGGAACGUGCCCAGACGUGGGGGAUCACGUAGUGAAAAUUACGCUAAUACCGCAUACGAUCUAUGGAUGAAAGCGGGGGAUCGCAAGACAUCGCGCGAUUGGAGCGGCCGAUAUCAGAGUAGGUAGUUGGUGGGGUAAAGGCCCACCAAGCCAACGAUCUGUAGCUGGUCUGAGAGGACGACAGGCCGCACUGGAACUGAGGCGCCGUCCAUACUGCAACGGGACGCAACAGUGGGGAAUUUAGGGCAAUGGGCGAAAGCCUGAUCCAGCCAUUCCGCGGGCAGGAUGAAAGCCCUCGGGUUGUAAACUGCUUGUGUACAGAACGAAAAGGUUUCUACUAAGACUGGGAGCUCAUGACUGUACUGUAAGAAUAAGCACCGGCUAACUACGUGCCAGCAGCCGCAGUAA
rnacentral:rRNA from 1 species